GAAGAUGGCGGAUCCGUGACGCGCGGAGAAGCAGCCUCUCUGAGAGCUGGUGUCCAGCUUGAACCUGAGGAAGCUGAGCAACUCCUGGCGACCCCAGAGGCCUCCACGGAGAACGCACCAGCUGAGCAGAGCAGGGAACACAGUGAACUGCAGUGACUGGUGGCGGGAACUGCUGACAUUUUCAUUGUGCAGAAGGACACAUGGUAGC